GUGCUCACUUCGGCAGCACAUAUAUUAAAAUUGUAACCAUACAGAGAAGAUUAGCAUGGACCCUGUGCAAGGAUGACAUGUAAAUUCGUAAAGCGUUCCAUAUUUUU
ensembl:snRNA Gm25023 predicted gene, 25023